rnacentral:rRNA from 1 species
AGAGUUUGAUCCUGGCUCAGAACGAACGCUGGCGGCGUGCCUAACACAUGCAAGUCGAACGUGAUUAGAGAGCUUGCUCUCUAUGAAAGUGGCGCACGGGUGAGUAACGCGUAGAUAAUCUGCCUGAUGAUCGGGGAUAACACUUCGAAAGGGGUGCUAAUACCGGAUAAGCUCACGGAGUCUUUGGAUUCUGCGGGAAAAGGGGGGGACCUUCGGGCCUUCUGUCAUCAGAUGAGUCUGCGUACCAUUAGCUAGUUGGUAGGGUAAAGGCCUACCAAGGCGACGAUGGUUAGCUGGUCUGAGAGGAUGAUCAGCCACACUGGAACUGAGACACGGUCCAGACUCCUACGGGAGGCAGCAGUGGGGAAUUUUGCGCAAUGGGGGAAACCCUGACGCAGCAACGUCGCGUGAGUGAUGAAGGCUCUUGGGUCGUAAAGCUCUGACAGAGGGAAAGAAGUGUAUUGUGGCUAAUAUCCACGAUACUUGACGGUACCCUCAAGGAAGCACCGGCUAACUCCGUGCCAGCAGCCGCGGUA